rnacentral:rRNA from 1 species
GGUUCAGGACGAACGCUGGCGGCGUGCCUAAUACAUGCAAGUCGAACGGUCUUUCUAUGGAAGCUUGCUUCCACUGAGAAGAUAGUGGCGAACGGGUGAGUAACACGUGGGUAACCUGCCCAUAAGAGGGGGAUAACAUCCGGAAACGGGUGCUAAUACCGCAUAGUUUUCUUGAUCGCAUGAUCGGGAAAGGAAAGACGGCCUUUGUGCUGUCGCUUAUGGAUGGACCCGCGGCGUAUUAGUUAGUUGGUGAGGUAACGGCUCACCAAGACGAUGAUACGUAGCCGACCUGAGAGGGUGAUCGGCCACAUUGGGACUGAGACACGGCCCAAACUCCUACGGGAGGCAGCAGUAGGGAAUCUUCCGCAAUGGACGAAAGUCUGACGGAGCAACGCCGCGUGAGUGAAGAAAGGUUUUCGGAUCGUAAAACUCUGUUGUCAGAGAAGAACAAGUUGGAGAGUAACUGCUCCAGCCUUGACGGUAUCUGACCAGAAAGCCACGGCUAACUACGUGCCAGCAGCGGC